rnacentral:rRNA from 1 species
GACGAACGCUGGCGGCGUGCUUAAUACAUGCAAGUCGAACGGAAAGGCCCUGCUGUUGCGGGGUGCUCGAUAGGCGAAGGGGUGAGUAACACGUGAGUAACCUGCGCUUUACUUUGGGGUAACUUCCGGAAACUGGGGCUAAUACCGGAUAGGACCUCAUGCGGCAUGGUGGGGGUUGGAAAGUUGCGGCGGAUGGGGAUGGACUCGCGGCUUAUCAGGUAGUUGGGGGGGUAGUGGCUUACAAAGGCUUUGAGGGGUAGCCGGCCUGAGAGGGUCACCGGGCCCCAUAGUACUACGGGAGGGACCAGACGCCAACGUUAGGCAAUGGUGGAAAAUAUUACGCAAUGGGCGGACGCCUGAGGCAGAGGCGCCGGGUGCGUAAAGACCGCUUUCGGGUUAAAAACCGCUUUCGCCUGUAAUGAAGCGACAGUGACGGUAAUUAACAAGAAAGCAACGGCUAACUACGUG